rnacentral:lncRNA from 1 species
CGUUCCCCUCAGACCCAAAUUUUGCGAAACAACAACGGUGUGGAAGGUCGCUGAUUACGACCACUCAGCCGGAAAAUGGUGGGUGAUAACCGAUGGGGUUAAAGGGAACCCAGGUGCCAACACUUUGACCAGUUGGUUUAGAAUAGAGAAGACGACUACUGAUUUUGAUUACACAUUUAAGUACUGCCCCGCAGUAUGUGGAACAUGCCCAGCCUUAUGCAACAAAAUUGUGAGAGACUUUGAUGGAGAAAUGGUACGUUUGGCUCUCACCACUGGCCAUGGAUGGCCAUUUAUCUUUAAGAAAGUUGGAAAAUCAGCCAUGGAGAUUGAACAAGUUGUUCAUAAUUAGAUUGAAAGCAAUCAUUAUGCAUGAACUAGUAGUUACUACAUAAUAUUAGCUUCAAGUAAAUAAUGCUGAGGGAACUUAUUGUUAAGAUUGCCUUGUUUGAAGCGGCAGCAUGUAUAUAUAUAUGCUUGCUUACAAGGUUUGUCUCUCAGAGUCCUCCUCUUUGUACUCUUUUCAGCUUAAUGAAUAAACUGUUUACUUAUUUACUUCUUUUGUUGCCAUUGAUUCUAGUAGCAUUCGACUCAUUAACUUGGAUACAUUACCUUGUAAUUAACCAAAAAGUUAUGUGUAUAUAUAUAAAGAGUGUGUGAGAGAAAAAAUAAAAUACCAAGUACCAAGUGAAAAAUGUUAAUACUAGGAUUAUUCAAAGCGAUUUCAAUGAACAGAAAUGGAAUAGUCGUCGGGUGGUUAGGACAUUUUAUCUUUAGAGAUAAAGAAGGUUGGUUCAUGUUCGGAGUUUGUGGCCACUCCUUCAAUAAUAUCGUUUUUAAAGUUUAAACUUGUAUCACAUUUUAAACACGUAAUGUAUCUUACCAUUACAUCCAACAAUAUUAACCAUUUACUCUAUUGUAUUGUAUUGUAUUCUAUUAUUAAUUAAUGAUUAUGAUAUGUAUUAAGUUUAAGAUGAAUUUUCUCAGUAAUGUAUAUCAAUGAAAUCAAAUAUUUGUAUUUAAAGUUUUAACUCCACAUUAACUUUUUUUUUAUUUUGUCCGUUUGCUGGCGAUGAUUAGGAGAUUAAUGGUUGGUAUUUGUGGUUAGUAGCUUAUAACUCGAGGGUUGAUAGUGGCCCGACUCCACUUAAAUAAAAAAUUUUACAUUUAAAUUUCUUUAUAAUUUAUAAAAUUUUAAAUUAAUAAUAAAAAAUUAUAUUUUAACUCUCUAAAAUUAAUAAAAAUGAUAAAAAUGUAGAAGUAAAUUUAUACAAUUAAUGAUAAUAAUGAUAAGAAGUUGUUUCCUAUCACAUGGAAAUUUAUGGCAUCGUCCAUUUGGUUUUAUAUUUGUCCAUUUGCUUGGUUAAGAGUUGAAAGACAAACUAUAAUUAAAUAUACAAAACCAAACGAAUUUCAAGGGUUUUCUCUUCAAUUAUUGUCGAAUUUAGCUAAUUAUUAGUAAUUUUUAUUAUUUAAUUAUAAAAAUUAUAAAAUAGUGACUUAAUUAUAAAUAUAUAUAUAUAUAUAAAAUAGCCAUCUAAUUAUUUAAUUUUUUUCUUUUUUAUCAUCACAGGAUUAAUGGUGGUAAUUUUUAUAAUUGACAUAAUAGUAACUUUAACCAUUAAUAAUUAUACAUUAUGUCAAUUUAGUCUUGAUUCUAAAAAAUUUAACCUUUGACAUUUACACAUAUAUAAUUUGAUAUUUUUAUAAUUUUAUUUUUUACUAAAAAUAAAUCAUGAAAAUAAUAAAAUAUGCAUAAAAAUAAAAAUACAGCUACCGAGUAUAUGUCUUAUUGUAGAUUUAUAACAAUUAUCUUUUCAUAAAGAUAUUUUAUUAUAAAAUAUAUAAUAAGCACUUCCCUGUAACAAAUAAAAUUGUAGUAAACAAAUGAAAUUAUUAUAAAGAAGAAUUUUCUAUUUUCAUAAUAAUAAUAAUAAUAAUAAAAGAAAAGAAAAAAGUGGUUCUAUUAAUUCACCUCACAUUUGAAAUAUGUUAUAUGUAAUAAUAUUAAUGUCUUUAUCAAUUUUGGUGGUUCAUCCUUUCCCAUCUCUAUAAAUUUGCAUGCAGAACUAAAGCAACACAUAUCAACACAAUCUGUAUAACCAUGAAAACCACAACAGCUUCGGUGUUUCUUCUUUUCAUCAUCUUCUCAAUCACACCAUUGUCCUUUUCGUUUGGUGUGGCCAACACUACAAACGCUCCUGUGCUCGACAGUGAUGGCAACGAGCUCCGCACAGGCACCCCAUACUUCGUUGUGUCGUCGAUAUGGGGUGCUGGUGGUGGGGGGCUUGCCCUAGGCAUGCCUAGAGGAAAGCCAUGCCCGGAAGUCGUUGCUCAAAGAGGAUCCGGUGACGAUGGUAUUCCGGUGAUAUUUUCUAAUUCGGACUCCAACGAUGGCGUUGUUCGCCUAUCCUCUGACAUAAACAUAGAGUUCAUUCCCCUCAGACCCAGAUUUUGCCAAACAACAACGGUGUGGAAGGUCGAUGAUUACGACCACUCAGCCGGAAAAUGGUGGGUGAUAACCGAUGGGGUUAAAGGGAACCCAGGUGCCAACACUUUGACCAGUUGGUUUAGAAUAGAGAAGGCGGGUGAUCUUGAUUACCCAUUUAAGUACUGCCCCGCUGUAUGUGGAACAUGCCCAGCCUUAUGCAACAAAAUUACGAGAGACUCAGAUGGAGAAAUGAUACGUUUGGCUCUCUCCGCUGGCCAUGGAUGGCCAUUUUUCUUUAAGAAAUUUCAAACAUCAGCCAUGGAGAUUGAACAAGUUGUUCAUAAUUAGAUUGAAAGCAAUCAUUAUGCAUGAACUAGUAGUUACUAUACAAUAUUAGCUUCAAGUAAAUAAUGCUGGGAGAACUGAUUGUUAAGAUUGCCUUGUUUGAAGCAGCAGCAUGUAUAUAUAUAUGCUUGCUUACAAGGUUUGUCUCUCAGAGUCCUUCUCUUUGUACUCUUUUCAGCUUAAUAUAUAAACUGUCUACUUAUUUACUUCUUUUAUUGCCAUUGAUUCUAGUAGUAUUAGACUCAUUAACUUGGAUACAUUGUCUUGUAAGAGAUAGCUUAUCUCUUAACAACUGUUUGGGUCAACAAAAUUAAUGUAUAUAUGAAAACGAAUAUUGAAUUUGGAUGUCCAAUCAAUUUUUUUAAUUAAUUAAUUAAAAAGAAUUGUUUUAAUUCAAAAAAUCUAAAAGAAUUUGAUAAAAAAUGUGGAAGGGCACACUUGUAUGAUGAAUAGUAGUGAUAAUAAUGAUAGAAGUCGUUUUCCUAGCACAAGUAUGGGAUUCGUCCAUUUGGUUUUAUAUUUAUCCACUUGCCUGAGUGUUUAAGAGUUAAAAAGGACAAAACUAUUAAGUAGAAAACACCAAACGAAUUGGAAGGCUUUUGUCUUCUUCAAUUAGUAUGACCUAUAUUUCUUAUUAAACUUCGUAUUUUACAUUCAAUAUCAUCAUCGCAAUCAUUUUAAUUUAUUUUCAUGAAUAAACUUUUAUGUCCCAUUUUAAUUGAAUCAUUAAAAAUUAUUAAUUGAAUUUUUUUUAAGUCAAGUGAUACUAAUUUGAUUUUUUUAAAAAAGUUGUUUGAAUUAAUUUGAUUUCGUGUCAUAAUUGACAUAAAUGGCCAUUGUGAAUGGCAACAUCAAUAGUUAUUGAGUACAGCGGCUAAAAUUUUCAGUUAAAAAAAAAAGAAUGAAAGGAAAACAAAAAGAAAAACGUGGAAAGAAAGAAAGAAAGAAAGAAUAAUAAUAAUAAUAAUAAUAAUAAAUAAAAUAGAAUUGUGGGGGCGAUGCUUUUGAACAAAUCUUGAUUUAAACUAUAUAAAGAAAAUAUGUGUUAUAUAUAUAAUUAAUUAUGUACUUAUACUUAAUAUAUUAUAUAUCUAAUGUCAUAUUUUCAUAUUCUCAGGAAGUGGUGACAUACAAAUACUUGAUUCGAUUUAUUUCUUUAGCUCCCCGUGAAUUGUAUGUUUGUAACAUUAGGGAUAGAAUUUCUUCAAUUAUCCAAUUGACUGGACGUAUUGUGUCGAUUUUUUUUUAGUAAUAUACCUAGAAAUACCCGUUGAUUCUUUAUAAACGCUGUUUCGAACACAACUGGUACACUCUAAAAUAAUUUACUUGAACAUCAUUACUCUUAGCCAUGAACCUCCUUUGAGUUUUUAAUUCACCCAACUUUUUUAUUUUCCGAUCAAAAGCAAAGAAGAAAGGAAUGAAAAGAAAAGAAAGAAAUCAAAGUUGCUAACUCAAAACCAAAUCCUGAAAAUUUUCAUUUCAAUGAAUAUAGUAAGUAAAUAUAGAUUUAUAGUAAUAGCAAAUAAUAAGAAUUAAGUAAUAUAACGAUUUUUAAUUCUAUUUAGAAUCAAUUAAAAUAUUCAAAUAAAUAUUCAAUUAAAAUAAAUUAAACUGUAUAAAUUUUAUAAUUUUAAAUUAUUAUUUUUGUAUUAAUUUAAAAACAAAAUAAAUAUUAUAUACAAUGAUUUAGUUACAGCGUGUCAGCUUGAAGUCUAAGACUUUAUAACAUAUAAAUUUAAUAGAUAAUUAAUAACUAAAAAAUUAAAUAGCAAAAGCAUAAUUGCGCCACUUCUCACCAUUUUAAUGUAUGCAACUUAUUAUAUAUUUAUAUAUAUUAUCAUUUUAUUUUAAAUAAUUUAAUUUUAUAAAUUUAGGGAUAAAUCUCAAAAUUAUACAUGAACUUUAAUUUAAUAUGCAAUUGUAUAUAUAAACUUUAAUUUGGUACAAUUAUACACGUGAUACUUUAAUUGUGGUUUAAAUACUCACUUGAAACUUUAGUUUUGAUUUAAUAAUGCAUAUUUAAAUAAAUAAAUACAUCAAUUUUUUUAUAUUGGGUAAAUAUAAUUAUUUAUGUAUGCAAUAUAUAACAUAAAAUGAUGUUAUAUCAAUAAUUGUGUUAAUAAUUUUCAAGAAUUGGAUCAAAUCAAAAUUUCAUGUAUAAAAUUGAACAAAAUCAAAGUUAAUGUAUACAAUUGCACAUUAAACCAUAAUUCAUGUAUAUUUUUUUGUAUAUAUCCCAUAAAUUUAUUUCAUUAACUUUUUACCUAUAUCAUAUAUAGAGUUGUUCGUGAACCGAGCCAAGGAAUGCCUGCUCGAAAAAAUGAGAGGGUUUGGCAAAAAAAUAUAUGCCUAAAAAAUGGGCUUGGAUAAAAAGACAAGGCCCGUUUAGAAAAUGAACCGGCAUUGAGUAGGGUUUUUUUGUCCGGGCUCAGCCUAACCCGAAUUUUCAAUUAAAAAAAACCUUGUUGUUUUUGCUGCUAUUUUUCCAUAUCUUGGUGUUGUUUUCUCACUUUUUGCCGCUAUUUUACUACCAUUUCACUAUUAUGUUACUACUAUUUUUUUUAAUGUUUGGAUAUAGUAUAAUAAUUGUUUUAUUGUUAAUUUUAUCACUAUUUUAGAGACAUUUGUUUGUUAUGUUGUACUUAUUUUAGUUUUUAUUUAAGUAUAAAAAAAUUUAAAAUUUAUUUUCAAUUUAUUGAUAAACAUGUAAUUUAAUAUUUUCAGUGUAUUUAUUGUAUUAUAUUUGUUAAAUUUAUAUAAAAUUAAAAUUAAAAAAAUAUGGACCGAGAUGGGAGUUUAACAAAAAUUUAGGCCCAUUUUUCAAGUCGGGCCGAUCUCAAACCUAACAAUCGGACUUAAAAUUUUGUUAGAGCUCGGCCCAUCCCAUGAACAACUCUAAUUAUAUAUAUAUGUCAUUCUCUAAUAAUAAUAAUAAUAAUAAUAAUAAUAAGUGGAUAACAUAAAACUAGUAGUAAAGAGUAAGAAGACAAAGAAGAAUUAAGUGGAUAACAUAAAACGUGCGAAAACAUUUAUCUUCAAUUCUGACACAUAAAGCUAGUAUUUUUGGGUAAAGUAUAGAAAUGGUGAUUAAAUUAUUGUUGAUGUUCUAUUUUAAUUUUUAAUUUUUCUAUUUUAGUUAUUAAAUUAUUUGAAAUUAAAUUUUUUGGUUAUCAAAGGUUAACAGUAGUUUGAAAUUUAACAGAAAUAUUGAUGUGAACUUUUCUUAUUGAUUUAAUAAUAAAUUUAGCCUUCUAAUAUUUAUAUAUUCUAUUAAUUUGAUACUAAAUAUAAAAAUUUAACAAAUUUAACCUUCAAUAUUUACAAAUUUUGUUAUUUUAAUUCAAAUUCUAAAAAAAAUUUAAUAAAUUUAACCCUCAACAUUAAAAAAUUUGAUAAAUUUCAAUUUUUAAAAUUUUGUAAAUUCCUAAAAUAUAAAGCAUCAUUCUCCACCUCAUAGGAUUCCAUGUAAAUGGAUUUUCUUGAAUUCUUUACCAAGUUGUCUUGAGUUUAAUUUCUUCUUAUUUAGUUUGUGGAAUAAAUGGCAUAUAGUUAGAUGUCACUGCAGCUGACAAUGAAAGGUUUGACAAAGUUGAUAAAUUCAGAGCUUUUGAUGCUGAGCUUCAAAUCAGUCUUGCCUCCACUCACCCAAGAAAUCAACUUUACAAUUUUUAUUAAGUCUUAACUAGAUUAAUAUGAGUAUUGUUAUCAAUAUAGGAGAAAGUGAAUUUUAGUGCGUUGAAACACAUUAUCUUCUUAUUGAUGAAUUGAGGAGGGGCUAUGAAUAGUUUUAAAUAUUAUAUUAAAAAAGCAGAGAUAAUUGAAACCUACAAUAAUAUUGUUCAAAAAAAUUACCUAAAAACACGAAAUCUUACUCCCUGAAUUUUCUAGAAACACAAAUAUUUCUCCCUGCCUUUGAUGGUGUAUACAUGCAUGGCCAUGUGUGAGCUCCUGCAUUUUAACUAAUCAACACAGAUAAUACCCUCAAUGAGACAUUAAAAUUAACUUUUAUUUUUGUUUUUUCAUAAAUUUUAUAAUUUUGUAUUUCAAUGAAAAAAUCUAAAUCUAAGUUGAUCCGAGUCCAAAAAAAAAUCUGAAGCUGUAAAAAGUUUGAUCUGAGGCUGCUCAUUUGCCACCUCUAAUAACCAUUUGAUAGAGGUUUAAUAUAAAGGAAUUUAGAUUUUAGGAAUUUAUAAAAUUUUUAAAAUUAAUUUUUUAUUUGUAAAUACUAAGGGAUAAAUCUAUUGAAGUUUUUAAAAUUUGAACUGAAAUGUCAAAAUUUGUAAACAUUGAAGGCUAAAUUUGUUUAUUUUUUCUAUUUAAGACCAAUCUGAUAGAAUGUGUACACAUUAGAAGACUAAAUUUAUUAUUAGACCAAUAAAAAAAUGCCCAACUUAACGCUUUCUCAAAUUUCAAACCGAUGUUAAUAUUCAAUGACCAAAAUUUUUUAUUUCAAAUAGUUUAGUGACCAGAAUAGAAAAAAAAUUAAAAGUUUGAUGACCAAAAUAGAACGCGGAUAAUAAUUUAAUGAUAUUUUUAUACUUUAUCUGUUUUUUAUGAUUAUUUAUACAUAUCAAGUGGAGCUAAUUUAGGGAAAAGAAUCAAUGGUUAAGGUUGUUGUUGAUACUUAAUGAUCAGGGUCCAAAUUUUGCUAAUGUAAUUUUCCUUAUCAUAAUUUGUAUCUUAAUUUUGUUACCAAAAAAAUAUUAGUAAUAAAUAAUAUAUGCUCGAGAAAUGUACGUAUGAUUGAUUUAAACAAUACAUGUUGGAGUAAUUUACAUAUGGAUUUAAAAUAAAUUUUAAAAAUAAAAUAAAAUUUUAAAAAUCCAAAAGUAUUUUUUCUUUUAAAAAAAUUUAAAAAUAAUUUUUAAAUUAUUUACAUGAUUGAUUUAAAGGAUUUCUUUCUAUUAAUUAUUUUUAUAUUAAAUUUAUUUUCCUUUAUGUAUAACAUUUAAAGGGUUUGUAUAUAUGCUAACUCGCGAGUCAAUUAAAAUUUGUAUUAUAUUCAUUGAAUUUUUUUAAAAUAUAUAUUUUAUUAAUUUAUUUAUUUAUUUGAGACCCAUGAUAAACUUGUAUUUAAAGUUAUUGGUGCACACUAUAAAUUCAUAUAUUGAAAAUGAUAGGUGCUAAAAGUAACAUGUUUUAGUCUCAUUCUUAAUGUGUUUUUGGAUGAUUAUUCGAUAUAAAAUGGUUAAUUUUAUGCUACUAAACUUUUCAAUUUACGUUCUACACUUAAUAGAGCAUUUAGGAGCAAAAGAAGCGAAAAACGAGCGAAAAUAAAAAAAAUAGGAGCAAGUCUCAAAAGCCACACAGGCUGAGCCAUUCCACACGGGUUGGACACAUAACCGAGUGAGCCACACGACCAUGUGCUAGACUGUGUGGAAAUCGCAAAUUACACUCCAAACGGCGUGAAAACACGUUAAUUUUAAGGUUUUUUAAGCAUUUUAAUACCUAUACAUGACAAAGAUAAGAAGAGGGGAGAGAGUCGUCAGAAAAUAUUAAAGAAAACAACUUAAAAAACACCAUUGAAGCUAACUUUGAAGCAAAUUUUCAUCAAGAUUGAAGAUCUCAUUUUGAUUUUUUUGAAGUUUAUUAUGAGUUUCUUUAUUUAUUGUAGUUAUACUGUCUUUAGGAUGUUUUUAUUUGCUAUCAUGAACGAAUUUUCUAAAUACCUAGGGAGAUGAAUCCUAUCAUGAAUUAUGUUAUUUGAUUUCUAUUUUUACGUAAUAAAGACUUAGAUCUUAUUCUCAAUUAUGUGUGCUUAAUUCUUGGUUUAAUAUUUCUAGACUAUUAAUCAAUGUUUGAUGUGCUUAAAUCAGAGGAGGAAUAAACCCUAUUUAAGAGUAGAUCUAGCGUAAAUGAGUGGAGUUGCAUGCAAUCCUAGAAAUAGGACAACAUAAAUCUACCGUAAUAGAUCCAAAUCUAAUAGGGGAAUCUAUAGAUCGAGUUAAUACGAUGAUAGAGGUUUUAAUUAGAAAUAAAUUUCAGUUAAUUAACCUAGAGUCAGUUACUCUUAGUCUUGAAGAGAUAUAUUAGCAUAAUUUAGGGAUUUUUACAGAUCAAUAUUCUAAGUGACGAAGUUGUGUAAUAUAGAUUGAUAAUGACAUAUGAAGUCUAGGUAGAUUCUUUCCUAGGUAUUGUCUCGCUCUUGGUUAUUAUUUGAUUAUUUUCUUGAUUUGUGCUUUGUUGUGUUAUUUAGUUAACUAAUUUAGUUAAUUUUAGUUCCAACCAAUCACUCCAAUUUAUCAGUUAAAUAAUAGAAAAGACGGUAAUUACUGGUACUUUUAGUCUUUGUGAAAACGAUAUCUUUGCUCACUAUAACUAUACUAUUAAUUGAUGUGCACUUGUCUGAGUUAGAUUUUUAGUUGGUUUACGACUGCAAUCAAAAAACUCAUUAAGUUAGCACAAACUAAGUUAAUUAUUCGUUGGUUGCUUUAUUUUUUUUCCUGAAGUUUCGAUUUCAUCUUUCAUUAUGUACAACAAUUUUGGUAUAAAAAUAUCAAAUUCUCGACACUUAAUAUAUACCUUUGAAAUAUAAACACAUGCAUCAAUUUUUUUAGGUUCCUCACAACUUACUUGUCCAAAAUUCUUGUAUCUUUCAGUUCUCCUGAUUGAAUCAAAAUUUGACUUUGUAAUUAUUUUUUAAGGACCUCAAACUAUCAAUUUAUAGUAUAAAUUUUCAAUAGCUUUCAUUCUUUACAAAUUGGUCCCUAAUUAAUCAACAAUGGUAUUAAAGCUUAAGCUUAGGGUCCCGUUGUUUCACUGAAAAUGGCUUUCGAAAAAUAAUUUCUAGAAAAUGACUUACUUUCCUAGAAAAGUUAAUAUUUUCUGAUGUUUGGAUGAAUCAGUGUAAAAUAUUUUAUAUUGUUUGACAAAUUUCUUAAAAAUAUUUCAUAAAAGCUGUUUUCAAUGAAACAAACAUGCAUUUGAGAUUUUCUUAUCUUUUCAUUGUUUAAUUAAGUUUAUCUUAUAUCUAUAAAUUUAUAUUUUACAUUUUUUUGCAUAUAAUAAAAAUAUAUAUUUUUUAAUUCAGGUUCACUACCAUGUCACUUUUUAGUUACAUGACUACCAAGUGAGUAUUUUUUUUAUUUAAAAAUGUGACAUCAACAAAAUUGACAAAAAAAAAAUUUAGCAAUGUCAACAAUUGGACUUGAUUUUCAAAUCUGAAAAGUAGAGGGACUAAAUUCUUGAAAAUAAAAGUAUAGAGACUAAAUUGAAAAUUUGUGAAGAAUACAUAGACUUAUCACAUUUUUUAACUUUUAUACUACAAAAUAUUUAUCAUUAAUAUAUUUAUAAUUAUAAUAAAUAUUUAUUAUUAAAAUAUUAAUAUUAAAUAUUUUCAAUAAGAAGAAUAUUAUUUAAAAUUAUUUUUUUUAAUUUUUUAUUAAAAUAAAAUUGAAAUAUUAAAUAAUUUAUUAAAAUAAUUAAUUUUAUUAAUAAUUAAUUUUAUGACUAAAUAUAAAUAAUUAAAUAUGUGUGUUUAAUAAUAUUGAAAUAUAUAAUAUUUUAUAUUAAUAUUUUAAAUAUUUUUAAAAAUAAAAAUAAAAUUUAUUUUCAAUAUAAUAAUAUUAAUAUUGAUUUAAAUGAAUUUUUAUAUAAAAAUAAAAUUACCUAUAGAUGAGCUCUUUUCCAGAAAAUGACUUACACUUUUCAAAAGGAUAAGUCAUUUUAUAGGAAAAAGAGUUCAAUUUUACAUUGACCUGUAAGUCAUUUUCCGAUGACCAAAAUGUUUUCUGUAAAAUAAACAUAAGAAAAUGAAGAAAAUAUUUUCCGUAAAACCUUUUACAUGUAAACAAACGGACCCUUAAUUCAAGCUUGUUCUAACAUAACCCACUUCACUAUUAGCAUGACUCUUCCUUAUACUAUGUUUAACCAUUAACCCUUCUCAUGAUUUCUAACAAAAAUUCUCUAAGUUCUCUUUAAUGGAAACUUCUAUUAGCUUCAACAAUAAGAAAUUCUAACCAUUGGGUUGGUUGUAUCAAGUUUCAUAGUUUAAAAAACUAUAAAAAAAUUAUUUAGAAAACAAUUUGUUUACCUUUGAUGGCCUUGAUGGAGAACAACUUGGUUUCUUCUUCUACUUAGUUUAAAGAAUGCAUGAAGAAGAAGAAGAUUUCCCCUCUCCCUCUAUCUUAAAUAUAUAUAUAAAUAACCUAUUAAUCAAGGUAAUUAACUCACUAAUUAAUCUUAAUUAGUUAUGAUCUAAUGGCCAUAAACUUACCAUAAGAAAAUUAGUGGAAAUGUGUGGCAUUGAUAAUGGUUUGCCAAUAAUCAAACUUCGGGCAUGGUAAUAUUGCAAUCAGGUCCUUGGUUUAAUUACACUUUAAGUACUUGCUAAAUUCUCUAAUCAAUUCCCACUAGUUGGAUCACUUGAACAAUUGGGUCCAUGUAUUAUAGUUACAACUUAUCUAAUUUAAUCAAUUAAUGAUUUGACUUUAUAAUUUCAUGUGCAACACACAAACUCCUCCGGUAAAUUCUCAAGCUAGCUUUAUUUAAAAAUUUGGCCUCAAAACCAGCUUUCCAAAUGUUCAUGAAAAUUGAGUUGUUACAUUAUGGUAUUUGUUUUGUUCAGCUUAUUUGUCAAGCUCUAUUCCUUUGAACUUAUGUUCGUUGACUUUGGUGUUGCUUAAAUGAAAAUGUGGUGAACAAUAUUAUGGAUAGGAGGAGUGUAUGAUUGAGUAUGUGUAACACCCCUAACCCACAUCCUUCGCCAAAUUAAAGUGACAGAGUGUUAUUAUUCAAAACAGAACAUUCCAUGACAACACAUAAACAAUUAUGCAAAUUAUCACAAUCAUUAAUUAACCAUAUUAAAAUAUAACAUAAGUAUCCAUACGACCUUUAAAUCGAGCUUAUAUGGCCUUAAAAAUAGCUUGGGAUCAAUCUAGGAUCAAUUUGGAACAUAACAUAAAUUUUAAGAAAAAUCUAAAAAUUUUGGGAAACAUGGGUCACACAACCGUAUGUCCAGGCCGUGUGACAUAGCCCAGACCUUGUGGGAAUUCAAAAUCAGGACACUCAAUCAUGUCCUAGCCCGUAUGUCUACCUGUGUGAAUAUUUGAAAUAGGGUCCCACAGUCGUGUCGCGGCCAUGUGCUAAACCGUGUAUAUAUUCAAAUUAUGAACACAUGGCCGUGUCGCAAGCCAUGUGCUAGACCGUGCUCAAAACUAUUUUGAGACACACAGCUGUGCCUUAGGCUGUGUGAAAUUUUCACUUUAGACAACGACACACAGCCGUGUGCCAGACCAUGUACACCAAAAUGUACCUUAAAAAUCAAAUUUACCAAAACAUGUUUACUUAGGCAUCAAGCAACCUAAUUACCAUCAAUCAAACUCAUUCAAAACACAAUUAAACAGGUUCAAAACAUCCAUCCUAAGUGCCUAGCCAUUGUGCCCUCAUUGACAUCAUAAUUCAAUAAUCAAAUCAAUCACAUUUAAACCAAGAUUUAAACAUUCAAAUUAUAAAAUCAUCAUUAACCAUUCAUACCAAAACACUGAUCAUUUCAAGUCAUAAACACCUAGCAAUAUUCACAUACUUUAUAAAGCUUAACUACCAAUACCAAAUAAGAUCCAUACACACAUACAUACCAAACAAAACACAUAUUCACAAGUAUCAUUCAAGAUUUACAACUUUACAUGUAAUUAACAUAAUUUCAAGUCAAUUAUUACAUGUCAUACAACCCAAAACAAACACUAAACAAACUACCAAUAGUUUCUCGAAUAGUGUGAUUCUUGAAAUCAAAUUGAUCACCCGAAGCGUCAAAAAUAAAUCUACAAGAAAGCAUUGGAAGAGACACAAGAGUAAGCUUACUUAAGCUUAGUAAUUUCCAUGGAUUUAAACAAUCAACUUACCGGAUAAACUUAUCUAAUAUAGAGUAUAGAAAAGUCAUAAAUCAUAAUCAUGUCAUCCAUAAUCAGAUCACGAGUGAGUCUUAAACUUAAAUAUGAAUGAAUUAAUUCAAUCAAUUACAUUAUAUCACUAAAUUAUACCCGAUGAACGUUGCAAUGGAUUUGGAUACACAGUUAACCAACCAAACACUCCAAAUCACUCAAAUGAGCUAGCCAUCUGAAAGUACACAUGGGCACCAAGUGCCAAGCCCAUAGGCUAACAUCCCUCCGAAACACACCUUGUCACCAAGUGCCAAGCCCGUAAGCUUUACAUCUGCCCCAGAAACACACCUGAAGCACUGCAAUAUAACGUAAUAGUUCGCAACAAAUGUUGAACUUCAAUAUAUUCAAUAAACAUGAAUAAGAUCAGAAUCAUCAUCUCCACAUCCACCAAUCUCGUAAAGCGCACGAUAUAACUUAUUGACAUGCCAAUUGUAUCCUAUCAUACAUUCAUCGGCUCACAUAUUUGUCAUUUAACAACAUUUAAUACAAUUUCUUUCCCAAAUCAUUUCACUUACCACAAUUCAAUACUUCCAUGUCAUUUAAUAAUUUCAAUCCACAAGUAAUUAAAUAUUUAAAUUAUACUAAAAUUAAACUGUACAAACUCACUAGGGCCAAAUUGCAGAAACAACAAAAGUUCAGGGACUAAUCAACAACCUUCCCUUUUUCCACAAUUAUCAACUUGAUCUUGAUCUAUAAUAUAAUUUAUUUCAAUUAUUAGCCUCAAUUUUCAUAUUCUAAUCAUUUCAAAACAUAUGAUCUCUUAUUUAUAAAUUUACACAUUUAUCCCAAAUUUUUACAUAUUAUACAAUUUAAUCCCUAUGACCAAAUCAAGCUUAGUUCUACAAUUAAAUUCUCAAUCCAUAGAACUAAAUUUUAACCACAUCCAAAACAAUCCAUAUAUGCUAAAAUUUUCAAGAGUAACAUGUCUAUUUCAGUUAAAUCACUAAACAUCAAAUUUUGUAAAAAUCACUUACAAACUCAAUACAUAUGGUCACCAAGCUUCAACCCAAACUAUUUACUACUACAAAUCUUCGAAAAUUUCAAUACAUAAUUUCUAUACUUUGAUAACUUCACAAAUAAACUCCAAAACUAGCUAAAUUCCAUUAUCAAUAGCUCAAAACUUAAAAUUUGAUGAUGAAUAAACCAAGAAAAUACUUACAUGCAUUAAAAACUAACAAAAACCAAGAUCCAAGCCUUAGAACAAUGGUGUUUCGGCCAAACCUAAGAAAAAUAAAGAAGAUGACCACUACCCCACUUUUGUUUUACUUUCCUUUUAUUAUUAUAAUAAUCUUUAUUUAUGAAAUUAUAACAUUAUAAAACACCAAUUUAAUUUUUUUUCUCUCUUUACCGCCCAUAUUAACUAACUAUGGGCUAAUGGCAACAUAACCUCCCUUAGUUUACUAAUUUAAGCUAUUAUAUUAAAAUAAAUCUAUAAUAAGCAACUUUUCCACCUAUUACAUAUUAAUCUUUUUUCUUUAAUCAAUUCACUAUACGUUAAAUUUUCUAAACCAAAACUUAAUACGACACUGAUGACUUUGUAAAUAUUAAAUAAUUAAUAAUUCUAGACUGACACGUCGAAAGUGUAGUCCUAAAACUAUUAUUUUCGACACCACUGGAAAUCGAACUGUUAUAGUAUGAUUCUACCUCUUAGGGGGAGACGUAUUCUAGUUUCCUUUGACUUGUUUAGAUGAUGUGUUAAUCAUUUGCUACUGGUUUUGUCAAAAUGCCAAAUGGUGAGAUUGUUUCAAACUUUGUUCAUGUUCGAACAUUAGAUUAAACAAUGCUUAAUUUGAUGCAUUCAAAGAAUUUAUGUUGGCAUGUUUGACUUUAUAAUGAAAUGGCUUAUGAUUUAAUCUCGUUGAGUAGCAAAUGGGGAAGUGAUUUUGUGUUAUAACAUGUGAUGAUCAUUAUCUUUCAAUCAACUACCUUGAAGAAGAAUGGGAGGAGUUUGAACUUUUGUGGACUUUCGUAAUAUUUGAAGCUGCUAAGAUACUUGUUUAUAAAGACUUUUAUGAUAUAACUAAUCAAAAUAAUUCAUGUCAGAAUUUUUGGAGUUUUAAACUUAUGAAGACUCUAGUAUUGGCCUAUAAAUAGGCAUAAUUACCGCACAUUGAAAAUAGGCUUUUGGAGGGUUUAAGUUGGAUGCUUUGGUGAAUUUUUCCUGUGUUUUAUACAACACUCUUUUUUAAGUUUUUAUUGGGGGAUAUUUGCUUGAUUGUAAGUGAGAUAUUUUGGAGAGAGUGAUUUGUAAUAAUUUAGGUUCAAUAUUGAAGUUGCAAAUAACUACAAGGUAAUGGUAAUUUGGACUCUAGUCAAUAGUUAAUCAAGACGAAUUGUAAAUAAAAAUUAUUUUUUAAGUGAAACUUUACAGAAUAAAACUAGUGAACUCAAACUACGCUAACAAAUAUUAUAUACUAUCUUUCCUUACUUUACUCGUUGCUUUACCUUAUUUUAAAAUUGCUUUGUCAUAAAUGUAUUAUGUUUGACCCUUUCCGAUCGAAAUAAAAAAAUGAGAUUGAAAUUGUGAUAAAGCUAAAAAAAAGUUACAACAAAUAUGAUUAAUAUUAUUUUUAUAUAUACUUACUAAAAUUUAAAAAGGAAUUACAUUUAUCGAAUAUUAUUUUAUUUAAUAAAUAUAAUUAAUAUAUUUUAUAUAAAAUUUAAACUUUUUAUUAUUUGUUAGCUAAAUUUUAUUAUUUUUAUUUUCUUUAUGAAUAAAAUUAAUUUUCCUAAAAUUUGAGAUAAAAAAAUGUUAUAUAGAAAAUUAAAUUAGUAAAAAGUGCAGUUCAUACUUUAUAAUUAUUAUAAAUGAAAAAAUAUUAUAAAAGAUAAAUAUUAAACAUAAAAAAAUCAAUUCUAAAAUAAACUUAACUAUUAUAAUAAAAUAUUUUUAUAUAAAAAAGAAAUUAUAGAAAAGACUUACUGAUUAUAUUUCCAAUUUUCGACAUUCAUAAAAAAAAAGUGGUCCUAAUAAUUUAUUUAUACAAAAAAAAAAGUGGUCCUAUUAAUUAACCUCACAUUUGAAAUGUGUUAUAUGUAAUAAUAUUAAUAUCUUUAUCAAUUUUGGAGGUUCAUCCUUUCCCAUCUCUAUAAAUUCGCAUGGAGAAAUAAAGCAAUACAUCAACACAAUCUGUAUAACCAUGAAAACCACAACAGCUUCAGUGUUUCUUCUUUUCAUCAUCUUCUCAGUCACACCAUCAUCCUUUUUGUUUGGUGUAGCCAACGCUACAAACGAACCUGUACUCGACUUUGAUGGCAACGAGGUUCAAACAGGCACCCCAUAUUACGUUGUGUCGUACAUAUGGGGUGCUGGUGGUGGGGGGCUUGACCUAGGCAGGCCUAGUGGAAACCCAUGCCCGGAAGUCGUUGCUCAAAGAGGAUCCGGUGACAAUGGUAUUCCGGUGAUAUUUUCUAAUUCGGACUCCAACGAUGGCGUUGUUCGCCUAUCCUCUGACAUAAACAUAGAGUUCAUUUCCCUCAGACCCAAACUUUGCCGAACAACAACAGUGUGGAAGGUCGAUGAUUACGACCAUUCAGCCGGAAAAUGGUGGGUGAUAACCGAUGGGGUUAAAGGGAACCCAGGUGCCAACACUUUGACCAGUUGGUUUAGAAUAGAGAAGGUGGGUACUGAUUUUCAAUAUUACACAUUUAAGUACUGCCCCGCAGUAUGUGGAACAUGCCCAGCCUUAUGCAACCAAAUUGUGAGAGACUUUGAUGGAGAAAUGGUACGUUUGGCUCUCACCACUGGCCAUGGAUGGCCAUUUAUCUUUAAGAAAGUUGGAAAAUCAGCCAUGGAGAUUGAACAAGUUGUUCAUAAUUAGAUUGAAAGCAAUCAUUAUGCAUGAACUAGUAGUUACUACAUAAUAUUAGCUUCAAGUAAAUAAUGCUGAGGGAACUUAUUGUUAAGAUUGCCUUGUUUGAAGCGGCAGCAUGUAUAUAUAUAUGCUUGCUUACAAGGUUUGUCUCUCAGAGUCCUCCUCUUUGUACUCUUUUCAGCUUAAUGAAUAAACUGUUUACUUAUUUACUUCUUUUGUUGCCAUUGAUUCUAGUAGCAUUCGACUCAUUAACUUGGAUACAUUACCUUGUAAUUAACCAAAAAGUUAUGUGUAUAUAUAUAAAGAGUGUGUGAGAGAAAAAAUAGAAUACCAAGUACCAAGUGAAAAAUGUUAAUACUAGGAUUAUUCAAAGCGAUUUCAAUGAACAGAAAUGGAAUAGUCGUCGGGUGGUUAGGGCAUUUUAUCUUUAGAGAUAAAGAAGGUUGGUUCAUGUUCGGAGUUUGUGGCUACUCCUUCAAUAAUAUCGUUUUUAAAGUUUAAACUUGUAUCACAUUUUAAACACGUAAUGUAUCUUACCAUUACAUCCAACAAUAUUAACCAUUUACUCUAUUGUAUUGUAUUGUAUUCUAUUAUUAAUUAAUGAUUAUGAUAUGUAUUAAGUUUAAGAUGAAUUUUCUCAGUAAUAUAUAUCAAUGGAAUCAAAUAUUUGUAUUUAAAGUUUUAACUCCACAUUAACUUUUUCUUUAUUUUGUCCGUUUGCUGGCGAUGAUUAGGAGAUUAAUGGUUGGUAUUUGUGGUUAGUAGGUUAUAACUCAAUAGUGAACUCGAGGGUUGAUAGUGGCCCGACUCCACUUAAAUAAAAAAUUUUACAUUUAAAUCUCUUUAUAAUUUAUAAAAUUUUAAAUUAAUAAUAAAAAAAUUAUAUUUUAACUCUCUAAAAUUAAUAAAAAUGAUAAAAAUGUAGAAGUAAAUUUAUACAAUUAAUGAUAAUAAUGAUAAGAAGUUGUUUCCUGUCACAUGGAAAUUUAUGGCAUCGUCCAUUUGGUUUUAUAUUUGUCCAUUUGCUUGGUUAAGAGUUGAAAGACAAACUAUAAUUAAGUAUACAAAACCAAACGAAUUUCAAGGGUUUUCUCUUCAAUUAUUGUCGAAUUUAGCUAAUUAUUAGUAAUUUUUAUUAUUUAAUUAUAAAAAUUAUAAAAUAAUGACUUAAUUAUAAGAAUUAUAAAAUAGUGACUUAAUUAUAAAAAUAUAUAUAAAUAGCCAUCUAAUUAUUUAAUUUUUUUUCUUUUUUAUCAUCACCGGAUUAAUGGUGGUAAUUUUUAUAAUUGACAUAAUAGUAACUUUAACCAUUAAUAAUUAUACAUUAUGUCAAUUUAGUCUUGAUUCUAAAAAAUUUAACCUUUGACAUUUACACAUAUAUAAUUUGACAUUUUUAUAAUUUUAUUUUUUACUAAAAAUAAAUCAUGAAAAUAAUAAAAUAUGCAUAAAAAUAAAAAUACAGCUACCGAGUAUAUGUCUUAAUGUAGAUUUAUAACAAUUAUCUUUUCAUAAAGAUAUUUUAUUAUAAAAUAUAUAAUAAGCACUUCCCUGUAACAAAUAAAAUUGUAGUAAACAAAUGAAAUUAUUAUAAAGAAGAAUUUUCUAUUUUCAUAAUAAUAAUAAUAAUAAUAAUAAUAAAAGAAAAGAAAAAAGUGGUUCUAUUAAUUCACCUCACAUUUGAAAUGUGUUAUAUGUAAUAAUAUUAAUGUCUUUAUCAAUUUUGGUGGUUCAUCCUUUCCCAUCUCUAUAAACACUACACCAGAAUAGGUUUUUAGCGGCGUUUUUUAGGCCUUUAGCGACGCUUAUUAACGCCACUAAAUCUAUUUCCGGCACUUACAAAAAAAAGCCGCUAAAGAUCAUGUUCUUUAGCGGCGCUUAGGAAAAAACGCCGCAAAAAAUCAUGUUCUUUAGCGGCGCUUAGAAAAAAACGCCGCUAAAGAUCAUGUUCUUUAACGGCGCUUAGAAAAAAACGCCGCUAAAGAUCAUGUUCUUUAGCGGCGCUUUGGAAGAAAACACCUCUAAAAGUAAUGUUCUAUAGCGGCGCUUGUUCAAAAACGCCGCUAAAAGUAGUGUUCUUUAGCGUCGCUUGUUUCACAAACGCCACUGUUUUGAUAUGACUUUUAGCGGCGCUUUUUUAAAAAAUGUCACUAAUUUUGGGAUUUUUUUAAAAUAAAAUUUUCUGUUUUUUUCAGCCCUCCUGCAACAACAAAUCAAAAGCAACCAGAUCUAAACUAACCAAAAAUAAUAAAUUUAUAUAAUAUUUCAAAUUAAAUGAAUAAAAUAAUAUUAAUUGAUAUAAAUAAAAGUGAAUUUCAGACUUUUCUUUACAAAAACGUUAAAAGUAUUUAUGCAACAUACACUAUGACGGCGGAAGUUGCGACUGCUGAAACAUCUUCAUCAUAAUCUAAAGCUGCUGUUGAAGUUCGUCGUACUUUUUGCUCUACUUUGCUUCUCUCGAUGCCGCAUCUUUUUGAAGCCGUAGCUGUAGUUCUUCACAUUUCUUUUGAACCUCUGCUUCUAUCGCUGCUUAUCUCGCUACGGCAUCUGCUUCCCUCACUGCUGCCUCUGAUUUAAGUUGUUGCUGAAGUUCUUCAUAUUUCCUUUGAACCUCAAAUGUGGUCGCUUGCAUCUGAGUCAUCUAGUCUUUUAACCUCUGAACUUCAGCUUGAGACUGACUCCCCGAAGCCAUGUAUUGGUGCGAGCUGGAUCCAAAAUAUUGGGUUGGGCUGAUAAAAGAUCCUUGAAAUCGAACCCGACCAUACUUUUCAGGACCCAAAACUUUAGUAAUAAUCCGGUUAUCAAUGUCUUCAAGAUGAAUAGAACUAUCACUAGAAGCAAUCGUUUCGUACUCUGUCUUUUUUUCCUUCAGUUUUUCCUAAUAAAUAAAUCACAUAGUUAGGAACGCAAUAUAUAGUAAAAAAAACAAAUGCAAUAUAACAAUAGUCGCAUUACAAGCAAUGAAUUAAACCAUUAGAAAAUAAACACUAUAAAUAACUAAAACAAGUGAAAUCGUAUUAAGUAAACGUACCAUAAUUUCACCAGCUUCAGGAGUCAUAGCAGAUCCAUCUUUCUUCUUAUGUGUAAUUUCAAAAAGUUGAAGGCGUCCAACUUUUUGAUCGGACGACCGUUCCUACAACACUCUUUUUUAAGUUUUUAUUGGGGGAUAUUUGCUUGAUGUAAGUGAGAUAUUUUGGAGAGAGUGAUUUGUAAUAAUUUAGGUUCAAUAUUGAAGUUGCAAAUAACUAUAAGGUAAUGGUAAUUUAGACUUUAGUCAAUAGUUAAUCAAGACGAAUUGUAAAUAAAAAUUAUUUUUUAAGCGAAACUCUACAGAAUAAAACUAGUGAACUCAAACUACUGAACUCAAACUACGCUAACAAAUAUUACAUAUUAUCUUUCCUUACUUUACUUGUUGCUUUACCUUAUUUUAAAAUUGUUUUGUCAUAAAUGUAUUAUGUUUGAACCUUUCCGAUCGAAAUAAAAAAAAUGAGAUUGAAAUUGUGAUAAAGCUAAAAAAAGGUUACAACAAAUAUGAUUAAUAUUAUUUUUAUAUAUACUUAAUAAAAGUUAAAAAGGGAAUUACAUUUAUUGAAUAUUAUUUUAUUUAAUAAAAUAUAAUUACUAUAUUUUAUAUAAAAUUUAAAUAUUUUAUUGUUUGUUAGUUAAAUUUUAUUUUUUUUUAUUUUCUUUAUGAAUAAAAUUAAUUUUCCUAAAAUUUGAGAUAAAAAAUGUUAUAUAGAAAAUUAAAUUAGUAAAAAGUUAAAAAAAUCAAUUCUAAAAUAAACUUAACUAUUAUAAUAAAAUAUUUUUAUAUAAAAAAAAAGAAAUUAUAGAAAAGACUUAUUGAAUAUAUUUCCUAUUUUCGACAUUCAUAAAAAAAAAAAAGUGGUCCUAAUAAUUUUUUUAUACAAAACAAAAAAAAGUGGUCCUAUUAAUUUACCUCACAUUUGAAAUGUGUUAUAUGUAAUAAUAUUAAUAUCUUUAUCAAUUUUGGAGGUUCAUCCUUUCCCAUCUCUAUAAAUUUGCAUGCAGAACUAAAGCAACACAUAUCAACACAAUCUGUAUAACCAUGAAAACCACAACAGCUUCGGUGUUUCUUCUUUUCAUCAUCUUCUCAAUCACACCAUUGUCCUUUUCGUUUGGUGUGGCCAACACUUCAAACGCUCCUGUGCUCGACAGUGAUGGCAACGAGCUCCGCACAGGCACCCCAUACUUCGUUGUGUCGUCGAUAUGGGGUGCUGGUGGUGGGGGGCUUGCCCUAGGCAUGCCUAGAGGAAAGCCAUGCCCGGAAGUCGUUGCUCAAAGAGGAUCUGGUGACGAUGGUAUUCCGGUGAUAUUUUCUAAUUCGGACUCCAACGAUGGCGUUGUUCGCCUAUCCUCUGACAUAAACAUAGAGUUCAUUCCCCUCAGACCCAGAUUUUGCCAAACAACAACGGUGUGGAAGGUCGAUGAUUACGACCACUCAGCCGGAAAAUGGUGGGUGAUAACCGAUGGGGUUAAAGGGAACCCAGGUGCCAACACUUUGACCAGUUGGUUUAGAAUAGAGAAGGCGAGUCAUCUUGAUUACACAUUUAAGUACUGCCCCGCAGUAUGUGGAACAUGCCCGGCUUUAUGCAACAAAAUUGCGAGAGACUUAGAUGGAGAAAUGAUGCGUUUGGCUCUCUCCACUGACCAUGGAUGGCCAUUUUUCUUUAAGAAACUUCAAACAUCAGCCAUGGAGAUUGAACAAGUUGUUCAUAAUUAGAUUGAAAGCAAUCAUUAUGCAUGAACUAGUAGUUACUAUACAAUAUUAGCUUCAAGUAAAUAAUGCUGAGAGAACUGAUUGUUAAGAUUGCCUUGUUUGAAGCAGAAGCAUGCAUAUAUAUAUGCUUGCCUACAAGGUUUGUCUCUCAGAAUCCUCUUUGUACUCUUUUCAGCUUAAUAUAUAAACUGUCUACUUAUUUACUUCUUUUAUUAAUGUCAUUGAUUCUAGUAGUAUUAGACUCAUUAACUUGGAUACAUUGUCUUGUAAUUAACCCAAAAAUUAUAUAUAUAUCAAAAAAAAAAAUGAGAGUGAGAGAGGAAAAUAGACUACCAAGUAACAAGUGAAAAAUGGUAAUACUAGGGUUAUUUAGAGUGGUUUCAAUGCACAACCGGAAUGAAUUGUUACCUUAUCUUUAGAGUCAAAGAAGGGUUCGUGACUAGUCUUUCAACAAUACUAUUUUCAAGGUUCAAACCUGCAUUAUCCUUUAAAUACGUAAUGUAUUUUAUCAUUACGCUCAAUAUUAUUAGUGAUUUACUUUAUUCUAUUCUUAAUUAAUAAUUAUGAUAUAUAUAAAGUUUAAGAUGGAUUUUCUUAUUUAUGUAUAUCAAUUAAAUCAAAUAUUUGUAUUUAAAGUUUUAACCCAACAUUAACUUUUUUUUUAAAAAUUUCUUCGUUUGUUGGUGGUGAUUAGGAGAUUGAUGGCCGGUCUUUGUGAUUGGUAGCUUUUAACACAAUGGCGAAGCUAAGGAGGCUUUAAAUGUUUAAAUGAAUAUUUUUUUCAAUUGAAAUUUCUUUAUAAUUUAUAAAAUUUUAAAUUAAUAAUGAUAAAAUUACAUUUUAAUUUUUUAAAAAUGAUAAAAACGUGGAAGCACAUUUGUACGAUUAAUAAUAAUGAUAAUAUUUUUCCUACCACAUGGAAGUUUAUGGAAACACCAUUGGGUUUUGUAUUUAUGUUUUAUUCGACACUCUUAUAAGUUUUACUGGGGAGAUUUGUUUGAUUGUAAGUGAGGUAUUUUGCGGAGAGUGAUUUAUAAUAAUUUAAAAUUAAUAUUGGGGUUACAAAUAACUAUGGGAGUAAAGUAGUUUAGACUUUAGCUAAUAAUUGAUCAAGAUGGAUUGUAGAAUAAAAUCAUUUUCGAAGCAAAAUUUUAUAAAAUUAGUAAAUCUGAAUUAUUCUAUAAUAUUGAUAUUAUCUUUCUUCACUUUAGCCCUUGCUUCACCUUAUCUCAAAAUUAUUCUAUAAUAAUCUAUUUUGUCUCAACCUUUUCAACAGAAUUUAAAAUGAAACUAUUUCUAUGAAGUGCAAACCAAAAACUUUUUCACAUACCAAUAAAUGGCAAGCAACCAUACCGUGGGCCCAAUGUCCCAACAAUCAUCUAAACAUUUUUUUUUUCUUUUUUAAAUAAUAUGUAAUAAUUUAUAUACCAUAAAUGAAUAUUAAUUAAAAUAAUAUAAACAAAAUACGACUCUUUAAUAUAAUAUGGAUCCAAAAUGUUUCAUAUUUGAAAUGCAGUUUUUGAUAAUUUCACAUUUCAUAUUUUAUCUUAGAACAAAAAGAAAAUUUGAACUUAAUAUUUGGACUAUUGAUCAAUGGUGUUUAUUAUAUUUCAAGACUAUCAGAUUAAUCUGUCGAUACUACUUAUAUGGUAUGGUUUAAAUGGGUGUGUGUGGAUAUAGAAAUUUGAAAUUCUAUUGUAUCAAAGAAAUUUUUUUUAAAAAUAAAAUAAAAAGGAAUUUGAAAUUUAAAAUUUGAGAUCAAAAUAAAAAAAAUGAGACUUGUUAUAAACCAUAAGGCUCAAAAAAGGUUACAACAAAUAUGGUUAAUAUUAUUUUUAUAUAUACUUAAUAAAAGUUUAAAAUAUCAAAUUUGUAAUAUUAUUUUUAUUUAAUAAAAUAUAAUUAAUAUAUUUUAUAUAAAAUUUAAAUAUUUUAUUGAAAUAUUAUGUUAGGUAAAUUUUAUUAAUUUUAUUUUCUUUAUAAAUAAAAUUAAUUUUAUUAAAAUUUGAGAUAAGAUAAUUAAAUUAAUAAAAGGUAUACUUCAUAUUUUAUAGUUAUUAUAAAUAAAAAAUUAUUAUAAAAAUUAAAAAAAAAGAAUUCUACAACAUAAUGAAAUAUUUUUAUUAAAAAAAACAGAAAUGAUUGAUGGAAUAUAUUUCCAAUUUUCGACGUUCAUUAAAAAAAAAAGAGUGGUCCUAAUAAUUGAUUUAUUGGGGAAAAAAAAGUGGUCCUACUAAUUUACCUCACAUUUGAAAUGUGUUAUAUGUAAUAAUAUUAAUAUCUUUAUCAAUUUUGGAGGUUCAUCCUUUCCCAUCUCUAUAAAUUCGCAUCGAGAAAUAAAGCAAUACAUCAACGCAAUCUGUAUAACCAUGAAAACCACAACAGCUUCAGUGUUUCUUCUUUUCAUCAUCUUCUCAGUCACACCAUCAUCUUUUUUGUUUGGUGUAGCCAACGCUACAAACGAACCUGUACUCGACAUUGAUGGCAACGAGGUUCAAACAGGCACCCCAUAUUACGUUGUGUCGUCCAUAUGGGGUGCUGGUGGUGGGGGGCUUGCCCUAGGCAGGCCUAGCGGAAACCCAUGCCCGGAAGUCGUUGCUCAAAGACGAUCCGGUGACGAUGGUAUUCCGGUGAUAUUUUCUAAUUCGGACUCCAACGAUGGCGUUGUUCGCCUAUCCUCUGACAUAAACAUAGAGUUCAUUCCCCUCAGACCCAAACUUUGCCGAACAACAACGGUGUGGAAGGUCGAUGAUUACGACCAUUCAGCCGGAAAAUGGUGGGUGAUAACGGAUGGGGUUAAAGGGAACCCGGGUGCCAACACUUUGACCAGUUGGUUUAGGAUAGAGAAGGCGGGUGAUCUUGAUUACACAUUUAAGUACUGCCCUGCAGUAUGUGGAACAUGCCCAGCUUUAUGCAACAAAAUUACGAGAGACUCAGAUGGAGAAAUGGUACGUUUGGCUCUCUCCACUGGCAAUGGAUGGCCAUUUUACUUUAAGAAAGUUGGAAAAUCAGCCAUGGAGAUUCAACAAGUUGCUCGUAAUUAGAUUGAAAGCAAUCAUUAUGCAUGAACUAGUAGUUACUACAUAAUAUUAGCUUCAAGUAAAUAAUGCUGAGAGAACUUAUUGUUAAGAUUGCCUUGUUUGAAGCGGCAGCAUGUAUAUAUAUAUAUGCUUGCUUACAAGGUUAAUUUGUCUCUCAGAGUCCUCUUUGUACUCUUUUCAGCUUAAUGAAUAAACUGUUUACUUAUUUACUUCUUUUGUUGCCAUUGAUUCUAGUAGCAUUCGACUCAUUAACUUGGAUACAUUACCUUGUAAUUAACCAAAAAGUUAUGUAUAUAUAUAUAUAUAUCAAAACAAAACAAAAAAGAGAGUGAGAGAGGAAAAUAGACUACCAAGUACCAAGUGAAAAAUGGUAAUACUAAAUUUCCAGAUAUAUGGCAUUGUUUGUGUGUGACAAACACCAAGUAUAAAUAGGUGGAAGUAUGACUACUUAUCAAGAGUGGUAUGGUUCAAAAACUACCCCUAUCGAAUUAUUUCAUCCUACUCAUUCGUUAUCGAUAGGAAGAAGGAUACUUCCAACAAGAAAUAUUUUGAAGGGUUAGUGUUGAGUUAGCUAAAAAUCAAAGUUUAUCAGAAGCUCGAUCUAAAAUUCGCCAAAAGGAGGAUUAUUCAAAGCGAUUUCAAUAGACAACGGGAAUGGAAUAGUCUUUGAGUGGUUAGGGCACCUUAUCUUUUGAGAUAAAGAAGGGUUGGUCCAUGUUUGCAGUUCGUGACUAAUCCUUACAACAAUGUCGUUUUCAAGGAUUGAACAUGUGUCAUCCUUUGAACAUGUAAUGUGUCUUACAAUUACACCUAACAUUGUUGGUGAUUUACUUUAUUAUAUUCUUAAUUAAUAAUUAUGAUAUAUAGUAUGUUUAAGAUGCAUUUUCUUAUUCAUGUAUAUCAAUUGAAUCAAAUAUUUGUAUUUAAAAUUUUAACUCGACAUAUCGAAGGUCUGCUACUCUAGCACGUCUUUGGUCUGCUGCUCUAGCAUGUUUUGGUUUUUUUAGGGUUUUUUUGGCUUAUUUCUCUUUGUUCUAGCGAUGACAGUUCUUGGGAUAGAGUAUUUCUUUUCAAUCUGGUUGAUUUUGAUUCGUGGCAAUGGAGGAUGAAUUGGCAGAGUUAACAUUGGAAGAUGAGGAAUAGGAGAUUUUGCAAGUACAGAAGGAAACUGAUUCUGCGACAGUGGUUUAAGAUCUUUGUCUGGUUGGAUACUUUCUCACAACGAGUGUAAUCCACUUUAUGACAAUGAGAAGCGCGAUGGCAAAUCUAUGGCAUCCUCUUAGAGGAGUUCAGAUCUCUAAUUUGGGGGAUAAGAAAUUAUUUCAAUUUUUUCAUAAAAUGGAUAUUGAUAGGGUACUAAAUGGGGAUCCAUGGACUUUCAAUAAUCAUCUUUUGGUGAUUCAUUUUUUGGAGGAUGGUGAGGAUCCGAUGAAGGUACCGCUAAUCUAUACGACUUUUAAGGUGCAAGUGCAUGAUUUACCCCCAGGGUUUUUUACUGAAUCUAUAGCAAAGAAGUUAGGCAAUUUUAAGGGUAAGUUUUUUGGAUCAAUGGAAAAAGCUUGGGUAAGGGCCUCAGGAAUUUCUUACAUAUACGGGUUUAGAUGGAUGUUAGAUGCUAUUUGAAGCGAAAAAAGAAGAUUAUGUUUUCACUUGGCAAGUGUUCCUAUGUCAACUUGAUAUACGAAUGACUAACUCUAUUCUAUUUUGUCUAUGGUUGUUUGGUAGACAAUGACUCUUUCUGUCAAGUUAGAAUGGCUAAAGGCUUAGAAGUUGUAGAGAUGGGAUGGUAUCUGUCUCUAAAAGCCCAGUCUAGGAGAGCUACUACGAUGAACAGCGUGUGGCUGCGGGAGGAAGGUAAAGGUGAGAUAAAGGGAAAUACCAUAGGACAUUUUGAUUUAGGGUAGGGAUUGUGGAAGGAUGGAAGGAAAGAAUCUAGGAUGCCCAUAGAUCUGUGUUGGGGUUAAAUUUGGAGGGUGGUUUGAAGUUAGUGUCGGGUAUGCAAGGGAACUCUUCAACGAUACAAGAUCAUUCGAAUAUGGAUCACGACUCAGAGGAAUGCGCUAUAAAAGGUAAAGAUGGGAAAAAAAGACCCAAAAAGGAUAAUGGAAAUCAUAGUGUUUCGAUUGUGACAGAUUCACUUGUGAUUAGAGAUGAGAGAUUGUUGGGACGAACUCACUUUUUAUCGGCAGCUGCCAAGGGGCAAGAUGAUCAGUCACAAUAAAAAUAAUUAGUUGGAACAUCCGUUGAUUGGGGUGUCCACAGGCUAUAAGAAGGCUUUGACAUAUGUUGAAGGUGUAUAAUCCCCAAGUGGUCUUCUUUAUGGAGACAAAAAUUAGUAAUGUGCAAAUAGAGAAUGUGCAUAGAAGGUGUGGAUUUUUAAAUGGUAUUGAUGUUUCGGCCGAUGGUUCAAGAGGAGGUCAUUUUCUAGCUUGGAAGGAAAAUGUUAAAACGAAUCUAAUGAGUUAUUCUAGUAGUCAUGUAGAUGUUGUAUUUUAGAAGAUUGAUAAUGGAGGUUUGCUGGCUUUUAUGGGACAUCAAAUGCGUGUAGCAGAGACGAUUCAUGGAAUUUGUUAAGAAAUCUAGGACGCUCUCAAGCGUUCCCUUGGCUAGUGUGUGACAAUUUUAAUGAAAUUAUAUACUCUUUUGAAAAGGUUGGGGUGCCAAGAGAGGAGAAGAGAAUAGAGGUCUUUUGAGGAGUCUUAUAGGAAUGUUAGUUAAUGGACAUUGGAUACUUUAGGGCUAGGUUUACCUGGGAAAGGGGAAACUUACCGAAAACGAAUAUGAGAGAGCGACUGGAUAGAGGAGUGGCGAAUGCCGAAUGGAUGAACAUGUUUUCUAGUGCAGUGGUUUAGCAUUUACCACAUUCUUUUCCAGAUCAUUGUCCCCUUUUUAAUCAUACGGAGCAGGAGAGUAAUAGGUUGAGGCAGAAAAGGUUUCAGUCCGAGGCAUGGUGGGUGAUGUAAGAAUCUUUUGAGGAGGAGGUUAAACAAAUAUGUCAAUCUACUUCGGGUGAUAUGUUGGCUAAGCUAGAAGGUGUGAGGAAGGGCUUAGUGAGAUGGGCGGGUUUUGUUAGAAAUAAAAGAGAGGGCCUUAAAAGGAAUUUGACUAGAAAAUUGGAGGAGAUGAUGGGAAAGGAUAGAGAUGAUGAGAAUAUUGUUGAACUAUCUUAAAAUUCUCUUGUCAUAACUUGAAGUUUGUGUCAUUUAAUAUAAGAAUACAAUUAAUGCCUGCAAUAAUGUUGGCAGGUAUAAUUAUUGUUGUAUCAAACAAAACAAUCUCAUGUAUGACUUCAAAUAUAAAACAAAAUAAUAAUUAAUUCGAAUAAAGGUAAACCCUAAGAUACCAAUCACUCCAUUAAUAUUUCAUUUUUGAACAAAUAUAUUAAGUUGUAAAUGAUAUCUUGGUGUAGUAAUUAAACACCGACAAUAAGCGUCACAUGUUUAUUACAACAGUUGCAAAUGUAAUUUUGUUAAAUAUUAGCCUCCAUUUAGGCCAGUCAAUAUUAACAUAACUUAAGUUACAUACACACAACCCCAAAAUUAUAAAAGUCCUAUUGUUAAAUUGAUUUGGUUCCUUUGACAUAGGAAAGCCGAAUUGCAUAAACAAUCAAUGUAUCCCCUAUUUUAUUCAUGUUUAUCACAAUGUUUGAAGGAGUGCUCACUCUUUUAGGGCGUGUUUACCAUUGAGGUUGAAAAGUAUCAUUAAACCCAAACAAUUAUUUCAAACCAAACAUUAAUUUUAAACUAGGAUUUUAGGCCAACCCAAAACUUCUAGCUUUUACUUUUUGGAAAGGUGCUUUUCAAUUAAAAACCUUUUUAUUCCUCGUUAAACUUUCUACUUUAUAACAUAAUGUCUAAAAUGGAAAUUUUAUUUUUCUAAAAACACUUAUAGACAACAAUAAUAAUUACUAUUAAUUUUUUCAAAAUCACUUUUCUACGGCACUGUUAAACUUAAAUGAUAAUCUAGCCUUUUAACCACUCUUUUCUAACAGAGAGCUUAUCUCUUAGCAAUAGUUUGGGCAAACAAAAAUAAUGUAUAUAUGAAAACGAAUAUUGAAUUUGAAUGUACAAUCAAUUUUCUGAAUAAUUAAUUAAAAAGAAUGUUUGAAUUCAAAAAUUUUAAAAAUUUUGAUAAAAAAUGUGGAAGCGCAGACUUGUGUGAUGAAUAGUAAUGAUAAUAAUGAUAGAAGCUGUUUCCUGGCACGAGGAACUUAUGGAAUUCGUCCAUUUGGUUCUAUAUUAGCCCUGUUGCUUCCGUGUUUAAGAGUAAAACGACAAAAUAUUAAGUAGAAAACACCAAACGAAUUGAACUAUUUUCUUAAGAUGGUGUCGGUAAUGUAUCUGUGGAUACCCAUUUGAAUUUUUAAAAAACUGAAAAAAUUAAUUUAUUUUUUAGAUUGAAUCAGCAGCAGGAAAAUAAGAAAAAAUACAACUUUGAGUUUGAGUUUGGAACUCUGAGAUUUCGCUCGGUGAUCUGAAUGGUGAGGUGGUAUGUUUAAAUACGGAGAAUAAUAUAUAUUCGACUAGCAACAAUCUGAUGGAGUGAAAUAGGAACUGAAAAAAAGGGUAAUUUAAAGUUUUGGUCAUUGUUUUAAAAGAUUACCUUCAGUCAUUAUAUUUUUCAGUUUUGGAAUUCCAGUACUACUUAAAUUGUAAUUGUUAAAUCUAUUUACUAUAAUGAUAUAAAAUUUUUAUGAAUAUUAACACUAUUAUUUUUUUUAAAGCACUUAUUCAUGGCACAAGGAACUUAUGAUGAAUAGUAAUGAUAAUAAUGAUAGAAGUUGUUUUUCUGGCACAAGGAACUUAUGAUGAAUAGUAAUGAUAAUAAUGAUAGAAGUUGUUUUCCUGGCACAAGCAACUUAUGGGAUUCGUCCAUUUGGUUCUAUAUUUCUCCGCUUGCUUGAGCGUUUAAGAGUUAAAGGACAAAUUAUUAAGUAGAAAACACCAAACGAAUUGGAAGGCUUUUGUCUUCUUCAAUUGGUAUGACCUAUAUUUCUUAUUAAACUUCGUAUUUUACAUUCAAUAUCAUCAUCACAAUCAUUUUAAUUUAUUUUCAUGAAUAAACUUUUAUGUCUCAUUUUAAUUGAAUCAUUAAAAUUUAUUAAUUGAAUUUUUUUUUAAGAUGGUACCGUUAAUGUGUCAAGUGAUAUCAAUUUAAAUUUUUAAAAAAAGUUGUUUGAAUUAAUUUGAUUUCAUUCGGUAAUCCAAACAGUGAGAUAGUGUGUUUAACUACGGGGAAUAACAUAUAUCCAAAUGGUGACAAUCUGGUGGAGCGAAACAGAUAUCGAAGAAAGAGUAGUUUAAUGAAUUUGGAGUCGACUUCUGGAAAAUCUGAAUUAUAGAAGUGAACGAAGAGGAAAUCUCUUCUUUGGUGCCGUAAUCGACAUAAACGGCCAUUAUGAAUGGCAACAUCGAUAAUUAUUGAGUACAAUGAUUAAAAUUUUCAGUUAAAAAAAAGGAAUGGAAAGGAAAACAAAAAGAAAAACGUGGAAAGAAAGAAAGAAUAAUAAUAAUUAAUUAAUAAAUAAAAAGAGAAUUGUGGGGGCGAUGCUUUUGAACAAAUCUUGAUUUAAACUAUGUAAAGAAAAUAUGCGUUAUAUAUAUAAUUAAUUAUGCACUUAUACUUAAUAUAUUAUAUAUUUAAUGUCAUAUUUUCAUAUUCUCGGGAAGUGGUAAUAUACAAGUACUUGAUUUGAUUUAUUUCUUGAUCGCUUCGUGAAUUUUAUGUUUGUAACAAUAGGGACAGAAUUUCUUCAAUUCCAAUCGACUGGGCGUAUUGUGUCAAUUUUUUUUGAGUAAUAUACCUAGAAAUACCCGUUGAUUCCUUAUAAACGCCGUUUCAAACACAACUGGUACACCCCAAAAUAACCGUUACUCAGACAUCUUUACUAUUGACCAUGAACCUCCUUUGAGUUUUUAAUUCACCUAACUUUUCUAUUUUUCAAUCAAAAGCGAAGAAGAAAGGAAUGAAAAAAAGAAAGAAAUCAAAGUUGCUAACUCAAAACAAAUCCUGACAAUUUUGGUUGCAAUCAAUAUAGCAAGUCAAUAUAAAUUUAUAGUAAUAGCAAAUAAUAAGAAUAAGUAAUACAACGAUUUCUAACUCUAUUUAGAAUCAAAUCAGAGUAUGGUAUUUUCUUUAAUCAAUUAAUUGAAUUCAAAAUAUUCAAUUAAAAUAAAUUAAAUUGUAUAAAUUUUAUAAUUUUAAAUUAUUAUUUUUGUAUUAAUUUAAAACAAAAUAAAUAUUAUAUACAAUAAUUUAGUUGCAGCAUGUCAGCUUGAAGUCCAAGACCUUAUAACAUAUAAAUUUAAUAGAUAAUUAAUAACUAAAAAAUUAAAUAGCAAAAGCAUAAUUGCGCCACUUCUCACCAUUUUAGUGUAUGCAACUUAUUAUAUAUUUAUAUAUAUUAUCAUUUCAUUUUAAAUAAUUUAAUUUUUAUAUUAAUUUUUAUAAAUUUAGGGAUAAAUCUUAAAAUUAUACAUAAACUUUAAUUUAAUGUGUAAUUGCAUACAUAAACUUUAAUUUGGUACAAUUAUACACAUGAUACUCUAAUUGUGGUUCAAAUACAUACUUGAAACUUUAAUUUUGAUUUAAUCAUACACAUUUAAAUAAAUAAAUACAUCAAUUUAUUUUUAUAUUGGGUAAAUAUAUUUAUGUAUGCAAUAUAUAACAUAAAAUGAUGUUAUAUCAAUAAUUGUGUUAAUAAUUUUCAAGAAUUGGAUCAAAUCAAAAUUUCAUGUAUAAAAUUGCACAAAAUCAAAGUUCAUGUAUACAAUUGCACAUUAAACCAUAAUUCAUGUACAGUUUUAGUAUUUAUCCCAUAAUUUAUUAAAUAAACUUUUUACCUAUAUCAUAUAUAGAGUUGUCUGUGAACCGAGCCAAGGAAUGCCCGCUCGAAAAAAUGAGGGUUUAAGAAAAAAAAUAUGCCCAAAAAAAGGGCUUGGAUAAAAAGACAAGGCCCGUUUAGAAAAUGAAUCGGGCCUUUGCUAAGGUUUUUUUUGUCCAAGCUCAGCCCGACCCAAAUUUUCAAUAAAAAAACCCUACUGUUUUUACCGCUAUUUUUUCAUAUUUUGGUGUUGUUUUCUCACUUUUUGCCACUGGUUUACUAUCAUUUCACUAUUAUGUUACUACUAUUUUUUUUGUUAAUGUUUGGAUAUUGUAUAACACUUGUUUUAUUGUUAAUUUUGUCACUAUUUUAGAGGCAUUUGUUUGUUAUGUUGUACUUAUCUUAGUUUUUAUUUAAGUAUAAAAAAUUUUUAAAUUCUAUUUUCAAUUUAUUGGAAACAUGUAAUUUAAUAUUUGUAGUAUAUUUGGUGUAUUAUAAUAAUAUUUAUUAUUAAAAUAUUAAUAUUGAAUAUUUUCAAUAAUAUGUGAAGAAUAUUAUUUAAAAUUAUUUUUUAAAAUUUAUUAUUAAAUUAAAAUUGAAAUAUUAAAUAAUUUAUUAAAAUAAUUAAUUAUAUUAAUAAUUAAUUAUAUGACUAAAUAUAAAUAAUUAAAUAUGUAUGUUUAAUAAUAUUGAAAAAUAUAAUAUUUUAUAUUAAUAUUUUAAAUAUUUUUAAAAAUAAAAAUAAAAGUUAUUUUUAAUAUAAUAAUAUUAAGCUUGAUUUAAAUUAAUUUUUAUAUAAAAAUAAAAUUACCUAUAGAUGAGCUCAUUUUUUAGAAAAUGACUUACACUUUUCAAAAUGAUAAGUCAUUUUAUAGGAAAAAGAGCUAAUUUUACGUUGACCUAUAAGUCAUUUUCCGUUGACCAAACUGUUUUCUGUAAAACAAACAUAGAAAAAUGCAGAAAAUAGUUUCCGUAAAACUUUUUACAUGUAAACAAAUGGACCCUUAAUUCAAGCUUAUUCCAACAUAACCCACUUCACUAUUAGCAUGACUCUCCCUUAUACUAAAUUUAACCAUUAACCCUUCUCAUGAUUUCUAACAAAAAUUUUCAAGUUCUCUUUAAUGGCAACUUGUAUUAACUUCAACAAUAAGAAAUUCUAACUAUGGGGUUGGUUGUAUCAAGUUUCAUAGUUUAAAAAUCUAUAAAAAAAUUAUUGAGAAAAUAAUUUGUUUACCUUUGAUGGCCUUGAUGGAGAACAACUUGGUUUCUUCUUCUACUUAGUUUAAAGAAUGCAUGAAGAAGAAGAAGAUUUCCCCUCUCCCACUAUUUUAAAUAUAUAUAUAAAUAACCUAUUAAUCAAGGUAAUUAAGUCACUAAUUAACCUUAAUUAGUUAUGAUCUAAUGGCCAUAAACUUAUCAUGAGAAAAUUAGUGGAAAUGUGCGGCAUUGAUAAUGGUUUGCCAAUAAUCAAACUUUGGGCAUGGUAAUAUUGCAAUCAGGUUUUUGGUAUAAUUACACUUUUAAGUACUUGCUAAAUUCUGUAAUCAAUUCCCACUAGUUGGGUCACUUGAACAAUUGGGUCCAUGUACUAUAGUUACAACUUAUCCAAUUUAAUCAAUUAAUGAUUUGACUUUAUAAUUUCAUGUACAACACACAAACUCCUCUAGUAAAUUCUCGAGCUAGCUUUAUUUAAAAAUUUGGCCUCAAAAAUAGCUUUCCAAAUGUUCAUGAAAAUUGAGUCGUUACAUAUGGUAUUUGUUUUGUUCAGCUUAUUUGUCAGGCUCUAUAUCCUUUGAACUUAUGUUCGUUGACUUUGGUGUUGCUUAAAUGAAAAUGUGGUGAACAAUCUUAUGGAUAGGAGGAGUGUAUGAUUGAGUAUGUGUAACACCCUUAACCCACAUCCUUCGCCGAAUUAGAGUGACAGAGUGUUACUUGUAACACCCCAAACCCAGCCUAAACGUUAUGGUCGUAUCUGGCAAUGUCACACAAUAGUGUUUUUGAAACCUCGUUGUUACGUUGAAAACAUUUCAUGUUAUUAUCUUUAGUAAACAUUUGUUAGAACUUAGGAAGUCGUCUUUAUUCAUUUAAAACAUUUGUUUUGAAACAUCCCUCGUUGCGGAAGCUUUAAUAAAACAGUCUAAGUGAUCAUGCGUUUAGAAACUAUUUUAAUUUUUUGAAAACUGAAUUUCCUACGACCAACAGGUAUAAAUCCAUAAAGUAAAAUAAAUAAAUAAAAACCCAAAAUUUAAAACCAAAGUCCCAGAAGGUCCUUAAAUUACAACCCAAAUAAUCAAUAAUAAUUAAAUCAUAAAACGUAAAUUGAAAACCAUGAAGUCCAAAAAUUACUGUGGUCACCGCUGAGUCCUCCGUCGCACCGAUUCGUCUAAGUCUGGGGAUUACCUGUGCACGUUAAACAAAAAGGGUGAGUUUACGUAAAUUCAGUGUGUAGUCCCGCAGAAACAAAUAAACAAUCAGUAUUCACAGUGCACAGUUGAACAGUCUUGGGCCCAAGCCCAUCUCAGUACAAUGUCAAAAAUGCAGUAGCAGAAUCCUACCCAACCAACCUCCACACACUAUCUCCGCCCAACCCUACACUCCAUGUGGGGAUAUAAUCAACCCACCCAUCCCUACACUCCAAGUAGUACCGAAUGCGGCACAAAACAGUAGUUUGCAGCUGAGCUGCCAGUAAAUUAGGCUUAAAGCCUUUCAGUACACUUCCUCUGAAUAACAACCCCCAACCCGAUGCAAUGCAACAUACAAUAGAUGAUAUGCUAUUAUGCAAUUUCUGUACAUAUAUUUGGUUCAGAUAUUAACAUGCCCAGUAUAGAUAUCAUUCAGUCAAUUUCACACAUUUAGGGGUCUAAGUAGCGCUUACCGACCUUACAGUAGGUUCACAGUUGACUUGGGUGACCCGUACAACCUUAGAAACAUUCCGGUAAAAUUGGGCUACAUGCCCGUGUGUGCCCGUGUGGCCCACUCGGCCCAAUUUGGCCUUGGUCGUGUGAUCCAUUUUUAAUGUAACCCAUGCUAGCUAAAUAUUCAUAUAUGUUUUCACUAUUUACUUAUAUGUUCAUUUAAAGUUGUCUACUUGAGUCAUUGUCACUAAAUUAUUUAUACCUUGAGCUACAGAAUUCCAAAUUAAGAUCCGCUUGAUGUUUUCAAAACUAUACUCAAAUACCUUUCUACCAUAAAAUUUUCAAAUUUUAUAGUUUACCAAAUAAGUACAGUAAAAUCUUCAAAUUUAUCCCAAUUCUGCUAUUUGAUAGCUUCAACGUUUCCUUACUAAAAAUUAUUUAUCUCUUAGUACGGAAUUCGGAUGAUGUUUCCUUUGUUUCUCUUGAAAAUAGACUCGUUAAGGAUUUAAACAUAUAAAUUUAAGCCCCUAAUUAUUUUUUAAAAUUUUCGAUGAUUUUUCCAAAAUCAGAACAAGGAACCAAAACCCAUUCUAACAUUGUCUCACAAAAUUCAUUAUAUCUCAUAACUUAAAAUUUCAUUGCUUACACAGUUUCCUUCAUGAAAAACUAGACUCAAUAAAAUUUAAUAUCAUAUUUUAUUCAACCUCUAACUCAAUUUCCCCUAUUUUUGAUGAUUUUUCAAAGUUAGACUACUACUGCUGUCCAAAACUAUUUUAAUGCAGAAUGUUGAUUUCCAAGUUUAAAACACCCUUAUUUCCUUUCUCUACAAUUUUUUGCAUCAUUUUCUCUUAUUUCUCGUAUUUCUCGAUAGCAAGCAAUUUCAGCUUUUCGUUGAAUCCCAUUUUCUGCAUUUUGGGUACACACCUGGUAUCGUUUCUGAUGCGUAAGCACUCUUAAGCCUCCAGAACCUAAAAAUCGACCAAUAAAUCUCCAAAUUAAUCACUUAAUUCAUUUUUAAUCAACCAAUUUUGGAAGGAACUCGACUAAAAAAACCUAACAAAACCCUUACCUUGCUUCAGUAACCACGACUUCGCACAAUCAUAGUGUCGAUUCAAAACCACCAACCCCUUGAUUAACUCAUAAACACCAAAAAAGAAACCCCUUUUCAGAGAUUAACCAAGAACGAUUAACAAUAGAAAAAACUGUUACUUACCGAACACACGCAACCAACGAUGAACAACCAAAUCAAUUGGAAAAUAAUGAAAGAAAAGGAAGAGAAAAAAAUAAUGGAAAUUUCGGCAGCAACUAGGGGAAAGAAUCGGUAGAGGAGAGAAAAAAGAAGAAAAAAUCAGAAAAAGUUUGGGUAAUUGGAGAGAAAACCAAAACUCUACUUUUUUUUCUACAACAAAAAGAUAAUCAGAUUAUUUUCUGAUAACCUCUCCCCCAUUAUCUCCUAAAAUCACUCCUUAUUAACCCACUAAAACACAACUACUCAGAAUUUUACCCCAACACAACUCUUAGCCAAAAUUGGAGCAAAAAUACUGUCUCUACGCCAUCAUAGAGAAUUGAACAUAAGACCUCCUUCACACCAACACUCCAUUUAUCCACCAGACCAGCAAGCCCAUUCUGUUAAUUAUUUGUCAUCUUUUACUUAAAAGCCUACUGACCAAAGAUAGGGCUUAUUCAUAAAAAUACCAAAAUUUUCCCAAAACCUGGCUUGAACUUGGGACCUCUCACACACCCAAAACACUUAACCACUAAAGCAGAUACACAAUUGUGUCACACCUUCGUAAGAACAAAAAUAAAAAUUUUGGGACGUUACGUUACUAUACAAAAUAGAACAUUUCAUGACAACACAUAAAUAAUUAUGCAAAUUAUCACAAUCAUUAAUUAACCAUAUUAAAAUAUAACAUAAAUAUCCAUACGACCUUUAAAUCGAGCUUAUAUGUCCCUAAAAAUAGCUUGAGAUCAAUCUAGGAUCAAUUUUGAACAAAAACAUAAAUUUUAAAAAAACCCUAAAAAUUUUGGAAAACAUGGGUCACACAGCCGUGUGUCCAGGCCAUGUGACAUAGCCCAGACCUUGUGGGCAUUCAAAAUCAGGUAACGCAGUCAUGUCCCAGCCCGUAUGUCUACUUGUGUGAAUAUUCGAAAUAGGGUCUCACGGUCGUGUCGAGGAUCGUAUGCUAAACCGUGUGUAUAUUCAAAUUAUGGACACACGGCCGUGUCGCAGGCCAUGUGCUAGACCUUGCUCAAAACUAUUUUGAGACACACAGCUGUGUCUUAGACUGUGUGAAAUUUUCACUUUAAACAACAACACACAGCCGUAUCCUAAGCCGUGUGCACCAAAAUGUACCUUAAAAAUCAAAUUUACCAAAACAUGUUUACUUAGGCAUCAAGCAACCUAAUUACCAUCAAUUAAACUCAUUCAAAACACGAUUAAACAUGUUCAAAAUAUCCAUCCUAAGUUCCUAACCAUUGUGCCCUCAUUGACACCAUAAUUCAAUAAUCAAAUCAAUCACAUUUAAACCAAGAUUUAAACAUUCAAAUUAUAAAAUCACCAUUAACCAUUCAUACCAAAACACUACUCAUUUCAAGUCAUAAACACCUAGCAAUAUUCACAUACUUUAUAAAGCUUAACUACCAAUACCAAAUAAGAUCCAUACACACAUACAUACCAAACAAAACACAUAUUCACAAGUAUCAUUCAAGGUUUACAACUUUACAUGUAAUUAACAUGAUUUCAAGUCACUUAUUACAUGUCAUAUAACCCAAAACAAACAUUAAACAAACUACCAAUAGUUUCUCGAAUAGUUGAUUCUUGAUCUUGAUCUAUAAUAUAAUUUAUUUCAAUUAUUAGCCUCAAUUUUCAUAUUCUAAUCAUUUCAAUACAUAUGAUCUCUUGUUUACAAAUUUACAUAAUUACCCUAAAUUUUUACACAUUAUUCAAUUUAAUCCCUAUGACCAAAUCAAGCUUAGUUCUACAAUUAAAUUCUCAAUCCAUAGAACUAAAUUUUAACCACAUCCAAAACAAUUCAUAUAUGCUAAAAUUUUCAAGAGUAACAUGUCUAUUUCAAUUAAAUCACUAAACAUCAAAAUUUGUAAAAAUCACUUUACAAACUCAAUACAUAUCAUCACCAAGCUUCAACCCAAACUAUUUAAUAUUACAAAUCUUCAAAAUUUUCAAUACAUAAUUUCUAUACUUUGAUAACUUCACAAAUAAACUCCAAAACUAGCUAAAUUCCAUUAUCAAUAGCUCAAAACUUAAAUUUUAUGAUAAAUAAACCAAGAAAAUACUUACAUGCAUUAAAAACUAUCAAAAACCAAGCUCCCAAGCCUUAGAACAAAGGUGUUUCGGCCAAACCUAAGAAAAAUAAAGAAGAUGACCACUACCCCACUUUUGUUUUACUUUCUUUUUAUUAUUAUUAUAAUGUUUAUUUAUGAAAUUAUAACAUUAUCAAACACCAAUUUGAUAUUGUUUUUCUCUCUUUACCGCCCAUAUUAACUAACUAUGGGCUAAUGGCAACAUAACCCCCCUUAGUUUACUAAUUUAAGCUGUUAUAUUAAAAUAAAUCAAUAAUAAGCAACUUUUCCACCUAUUACAAAUUAAUCCUUUUUCUUUAAUCAAUUCACUAUACGUUAAAUUUUCUAAACCAAAACUUAAUAUAACACUGAUGACUUUGUAAAUAUUAAAUAAUUAAUAAUUUUAGAUUGACACGUCGAAAUUGUGGUCCUAAAAUCAUUAUUUUCAACACCACUAGAAAUCGGACUGUUAUAGUAUGGUUCUACCUCUUAGGGGGAGAUGUAUUCUAGUUUCCUUUCACUUGUUUAGAUGAUGUGUUAAUCAUUUGCUAUUGGUUUUGUCAAAAUGCCAAAUGGUGAGAUUGUUUGAACUUUGACUUCUUUUCUUAUUUCACUUCAUGUUCGAAGAGUAGAUUAAACCAUGCUUUGAUGCAUUCAAAGAAUUUAUGUUGGUAUAUUUGAUUUUAUAAUGAAAUGGCUUAUAGUUUAAUCUCGUUGAGUAGCAAAUGGGGAAGUGAUUUUGUAUUAUAACAUGUGAUGAUCAUUAUCUUUCAAUCAACUACCUUGGAAAAGAACGAGAGGAGUUUGAACUUUUGGGGACUUUCGUAAUAUUUGAAGCUGCUGAGAUAUUUGUUUAUAAAGACUUUUAUUUAUCAUUAAUCAAAAUAAUUCAUGAGAUAAUUUCAACCUUUAUAUUGGAGUUCUAAACUUAUGAAGACUCUAUUAUUGGCCUAUAAAUAGGCAUAAUUACCGCACAUUGAAAAUAGGCUUUUGGAGGGUUUGGAUACUUUGGUGAAUUUUUCAUUGGGCUAUAAAUAGGCAUAAUUACCGCACAUUGAAAAUAGGCUUUUGGAGGGUUUAAGUUGGAUACUUCAGUAAAUUUUUCUUGUGUUUUAUACCACACUCUUUUUAAGUUUUAUUGGAGAUAUUUAUUUGAUUGUAAGUGAGGUAUUUUGGAGAGAAUGAUUUAUAAUAAUUUAGGUUCAAUAUUAAAGUUGCAAAUAAUUACGGGUAAAAGUAAUUUGGACUGUAGUCAAUAGUUGAUCAAGACGAAUUGUAAAUUAAAAUUAUUUUCUAAGUAAAAUUCUACAAAAUAAAACUGGUAAAUUCAAACUGCGUUAAUAAAUAUUACAUAUUAUCUUUCCUUACUUUACUCGUUGCUUUACCUUAUUUUAAAAUUGUUUUGUUAUAAUCUAUUAUGUUUGAACCUUUUCGAUCGAAAUAAAAAAAAUGAGAUUGAAAUUGUGAUAAAGCUAAAAAAAGGUUACAACAAAUAUGAUUAAUAUUAUUUUUUAUAUAUACUUAAUAAAAGUUAAAAAGGGAAUUCCAUUUAUUGAAUAUUAUUUUAUUUAAUAAAAUAUAUUUUAUAUAUUUUAUAUAAAAUUUAAACAUUUUAUUGUUUGUUAGUUAAAUUUUAUUAUUUUUAUUUUCUUUAUGAAUAAAAAUAAUUUUCCUAAAAUAUGAGAUAAAAAAUGUUAUAGAGAAUUAAAUUAAUAAAAAGUACAGUUCAUACUUUAUAAUUAUUAUAAAUGAAAAAAUAUUAUGAAAAAAUAUUAAACAUAAAAAAUUAAUUCUAAAAUAAACUUAACUAUAAUAAAAUAAUUUUAUAUAAAAAAAGAAAUUAUAGAAAAGACUUAUUGAAUAUAUUUCCAAUUUUCGACAUUCAUAAAACAAAAAAUAAAAAAAGUGGUUCUAAUAAUUUAUUUAUACAAAAAAAAAAAAGUGGUCCUGACGUUCAUCCUUUCCCAUCUCUAUAAAUUUGCAUGCAGAACUAAAGCAACACAUAUCAACACAAUCUGUAUAACCAUGAAAACCACAACAGCUUCGGUGUUUCUUCUUUUCAUCAUCUUCUCAAUCACACCAUCGUCCUUUUCGUUUGGUGUGGCCAACUCUACAAACGCUCCUGUGCUCGACAGUGAUGGCAACGAGCUCCGCACGGGCACCCCAUACUUCGUUGUGUCGUCGAUAUGGGGUGCUGGUGGUGGGGGGCUUGCCCUAGGCAUGCCUAGCGGAAACCCAUGCCCGGAAGUCGUUGCUCAAAGAGGAUCCGGUGACGAUGGUAUUCCGGUGAUAUUUUCUAAUUCGGACUCCAACGAUGGCGUUGUUCGCCUAUCCUCUGACAUAAACAUAGAGUUCAUUCCCCUCAGACCCAAACUUUGCCGAACAACAACGGUGUGGAAGGUCGAUGAUUACGACCACUCAGCCGGAAAAUGGUGGGUGAUAACCGAUGGGGUUAAAGGGAACCCGGGUGCCAACACUUUGACCAGUUGGUUUAGAAUAGAGAAGUUGGGUGAUCUUGAUUACACAUUUAAGUACUGCCCCGCAGUAUGUGGAACAUGCCCAGCUUUAUGCAACGAAAUUGUGAGAGACUCAGAUGGAGAAAUGAUACGUUUGGCUCUCUCCAAUGGCCAUGGAUGGCAAUUUUACUUUAAGAAAGUUGAAACAUCAGCCAUGGAGAUUCAACAAGUUCAUAAUUAGAUUGAAAGCAAUCAUUAUGCAUGAACUAGUAGUUACUAUACAUUAUUACCUUCAAGUAAAUAAUGCCGAGAGAACUGAUUGUUAAUUAAGAUUGCCUUGUUUGAAGCAGCAGCAUGAAUAUAUAUAUAUGCUUGCUUACAAGGUUUGUCUCUCAGAGUCCUUCUCUUUGUACUCUUUCCAGCUUAAUGUAUAAACUGUCUACUUAUUUACUUCUUUUAUCGCCAUUGAUUCUAGUAGUAUUAGACUCAUUAACUUGGAUACAUUGUCUUGUAAUUAACCCAAAAAUUAUAUAUAUAUAAAAAAAGAGUGAGAGAGGAAAAUAGACUACCAAGUAACAAGCGAAAAACGGUAAUACUAGGGUUAUUUAGAGUGGUUUCAAUGCACAACGGGAAUGAAUUGUCGUUGGUUGGGUGGUUAGGGCACCUUACUUAUCUUUAGAGCUAAAGAAGGUUUCGUAACUACUCUUUCAAUAAUAUUAUUUUUAAGGUUCGAACCUGCAUUAUCCUUUGAACACGUAAUAUGUUUUAUCAUUACGCUCAACAUUAUUAAUGAUUUACUUUAUUCUAUUCUUAAUUAAUAAUUAUGAUAUAUAUUAAGUUUAAGAUGAAUUUUCUUAUUCAUGUAUAUCAAUUAAAUCAAAUAUUUGUAUUUAAAGUUUUAACCCAACAUUAACUUCUUCUUUUUUUUAUUUCUUUCUUUGUUGGUGAUGAUUAGGAGAUUGAUGGCCGGUCUUUGUGGUUGGUAGCUUUUAACACAAUGGCAAAGCCAAGGAGGCUUUAAAUGUUUAAAUGGAUUUUUUUUUCAUUUAAACUUCUUUAUAAUUUAUAAAAUUUUAAAUUAAUAAUGAUAAAAUUACAUUUUAAUCUUUUAAAAAUAAUAAAAAUGUGGAAGCACAUUUGUACGAUUAAUAAUAAUGAUAAGAUUUUUCCCACCACAUGGAAAUUUAUGGAAACGUCAUUGGGUUUUGUAUUUAUGUUUUAUUUGACACUCUUUUAAGUUUUAUUGGGAAGAUUUGCUUGAUUGUAAGUGAGGUAUUUUGGAGAGAAUGAUUUGUAACAAUUUAGAUUCAAUAUUCGAGUUGCAAAUAAAUAUAGAGUAAAGUAAUUUGGGCUUAGUGAAUUAUAGAAUAAAAUCAUAUUCUAAACAAAAUUUUAUAAAAUAAAAUUAAUGAAUCCUAACUAAGUUAACAAAUAUUUCUUCACUCUAGGCAUUGCUUCACCUUAUCUCAAAAUUGUUCUGUAAUAAUCUAUUUUGUCUCGACCUUUCCAACAGAAUUUAAAAUGAAACUAUUUCUGAUAAGUGCAGGCCAAAAACUUUUUCGCGUACCAAUAAAUGGCAAGCGACCAUACUGUGGGCCCAAUGUCCCAACAAUCAUCUAAACAUUUUUUUUAAUAAUAUGUAAUAAUUUAUAUACCAUAUAUGAAUAUUAAUUAAAAUAAUAUAAUAUGGACCCAAAUUGUUUCAUAUUUGAAAUCCAAUUUUUGAUAAUUUCACAUUUCAUAUUUUAUCUUAGAACAAAAAAAAUAUAUUUGAACUUAAUAUUUGGCCUAUUAAUCAAUGGUGUUUACUAUAUUUUAAGACUAUCGAAUUAAUCUAUCGACACUACUUGUAUGGUAUAAUUUAAAUGGGUGUGUGUGGGUAUAUAAAUUUGAAAUUCUAUUGUAUCAAAGAAAAAUUUAGAAAAAAAUAAAAAAAAAAAAGAAUUUGCAAUUUAUAAUUUGAGAUAAAAAUAAAAAAAUGAGAUUUGUGAUAAACCAUAAAUUAAGCUCAAAAAAAGUUACAACAAAUAUGGUUAAUGUUAUUUAUAUAUAUACUUAAUAAAAGUAAAAAUAUCGAAAUUCCAAUAUUAUUUUUAUUUAAUAAAAUAUAAUUAAUAUAUUUUAUAUAAAAUUUAAAUAUUUUAUUGAAAUAUUAUGUUAGGUAAAUUUAUAAAUAAAAUUAAUUUUACUAAAAUUUGAGAUAAGAGAAUUAAAUUAAUAAAAGGCAUAUUUCAUAUUUUAUAGUUAUUAUUAAUAAAAAAUUAUUAUAAAAAUAAAAAAUCAAUUCUACAACAUAAUGAAAUAUUUUUAUUAAAAAAACCAGAAAUGAUUGAUGGAAUAUAUUUCCAAUUUUCGACGUUCAUAAAAAAAAAAAGAGUGGUCCUAAUAAUUUAUUUAUUGGGAAAAAAAAAGUGGUCCUAUUAAUUUACCUCACAUUUGAAAUGUGUUAUAUGUAAUAAUAAUAAUAUCUAUAUAAAUUUUGGACGUUGAUCCUUUCCCAUCUCUAUAAAUUCGCAUGGAGAACUAAAGCAACACAUAUCAACACAAUUUAUAUAACCAUGAAAACCACAACAGCUUCGGUGUUUCUUCUUUUCAUCAUCUUCUCAGUCGCACUAUCGUCCUUUUUGUUUGGUGUAGCCAACGCUACAAACGACCCUGUGCUCGACAUUGAUGGCAACGAGGUUCAAACUGGCACCCCAUACUACGUUGUGUCGUCGAUAUGGGGUGCUGGUGGUGGGGGGCUUGCCCUAGGUAGGCCUAGAGGAAAGCCAUGCCCGGAAGUCGUUACUCAAAGACGAUCCGGUGACGAUGGUAUUCCGGUGAUAUUUUCUAAUUCGGACUCCAACGAUGGCAUUGUUCGCCUAUCCUCUGACAUAAACAUAGAGUUCAUUCCCCUCAGACCCAAACUUUGCCGAACAACAACGGUGUGGAAGGUCGAUGAUUACGACCAUUCAGCCGGAAAAUGGUGGGUGAUAACCGAUGGAGUUAAAGGGAACCCGGGUGCCAACACUUUGACCAGUUGGUUUAGAAUAGAGAAGGUGGGUGAUUUAAGUUACAAAUUUAAGUACUGCCCCACAGUAUGUGGAACAUGCCCAGCUUUAUGCAACGAAGUUGGGAAAGACUCAGAUGGAGAAAUGGUACGUUUUGCUCUCUCCACUGGCCCUGGAUGGUCAUUUUACUUUAAGAAAGUUGAAAAAUCAGCCAUGGAGAUUGAACAAGUUGUUCAUAUUUAGAUUGAAAGCAAUCAUUCUGCAUGAACUAGUAGUUAUUAUAUAAUAUUAGCUUCAAGUAAAUAAUGCUGAGAGAACUGAUUGUUAAGAUUGCCUUGUUUGAAGCAGCAGCAUGUAUAUAUAUAUAUGCUUGCUUACAAGGUUUGUCUCUCAGAGUCCUUCUCUUUGUACUCUUUUCAGCUUAAU